rnacentral:rRNA from 1 species
CAAUAGCGUAUAUUAAAGUUGUUGCGGUAAAAAAGCUCGUAGUUGGAUUUCUGUUGAGAGCGACCGGUCCAUACCAUGUAUGCGUAUCUGGCUUGCUCUCGGCAUCCUCUCGAUAGACGUUACUGCGCUUGAUUGCGUGGUGCGGAUCUCGGGACUUUUACUUUGAGGAAGUUAGAGUGUUCACGGCAGGCUUUCGCCAGAAUACAUUAGCAUGGAAUAAUACUAUAGGAUCUUGGUUCUAUUUUGUUGGUUUCUAGAAUUGAGAUAAUGAUUAAUAGGGACAAUUGGGGGCAUUCGUAUCAACACGUCGGAGGUGGAAUUCUUGGAUUGUGUUGCGACGAACUACUGCGAAAGCAUUUGCCAAGGAUGUUUUCAUUGA